CCCAGGAAUAAAGUGUGAGGAUAAAAAGUUUUGGAUCCGCAACUGCAUUGUUAAGCACUAAGAAAGUCAUGUUGCUAGUACAUGGACAAAUGUUAUUAAAUCAUUUUAAUAAUUUCUACAGAAAAUUGUCUUUAGCUUGAUCUCGGUCUUGAUACACUGAACUAUAAUAUUCUAAGAAGUAGAUGAUGACUCGGUUGCUUUUAAAUUAUACAGAUGCUAUGAUACUAAUUGUCAUUAGACAAUGUUUUUCUUUUGUCAGUUUUUUUAUCCACUUGAGCAUGCUGUUAUAUCCACAUUGGAAUGUGAAACAGCUAAUACUUAAAUAACGGAAUUAAAAGUUUUCAAAUGAUUUUUGAC
rnacentral:lncRNA from 1 species